GAUAGGCUGAUUAUACAGUAGGUUGUUAAUGAUAGGCUGAUUCUACAGUAGGUUGUUAAUGAUAUCCUGAUCAUACAGUAGGUUGUUAAUGAUAGGCUGAUUAUACAGUAGGUUGUUAAUGAUAGGCUGAUUCUACAGUAGGUUGUUAAUGAUAUCCUGAUCAUACAGUAGGUUGUUAAUGAUAGGCUGAUUAUACAGUAGGUUGUUAAUGAUAGGCUGAUUAUACAUUAGGCUGUUAAUGAUAGGCUGAUUCUACAGUAGGUUGUUAAUGAUAGGCUGAUUAUACAGUAGGUUGUUAAUAAUAUCCUACUUUUACAGUAGGUUGUUAAUGAUAGGCUGAUUAUACAGUAGGUUGUUAAUAAUAGGCUGCUUCUACAGUGCAGAAAUAAGUAUUUUGCAGAAAUACAGUAAGUGUUUAGUGUUUUAACGUAAGUUAUUUUUGUGUGUUGCUGUCCAUUGACUGAUGGGGGAUAUCAGGCUAUUUUGUUAUUUUUAUAUGAAUUAUUGAAUAACUCAUUGUACUCCGUUGAUGUGAUAUGUGUACUUAUUAAGGUAGCGAGGUAUUGUAGUGAUGCACAGUGGUGAUUUCUAGUCACAAUAUGCCAGCAGCAGACCACCCUGCAUCCCACUGCUGGCUUGCUUCUGAAGCUAAGCAGGGUUGGUCCUGGAUGGGAGACCAGAUGCUGCUGGAAGUGGUGUUGGAGGGCCAAUAGGAGGAAUUGUAGUGAUGCACAGUGGUGAUUUCUAGUCACAAUAAACUACUAAUGUUUUCAGUUAAUACUCUUCAGGAUUUUGUAUGAUUUUUAUUAGCCUGGGUGCCAGUCUGUAUAGCCAGUUAUACAUGAUUUUUAUUAGCCUGGGUGCCAGUCUGUAUAGCCAGUUAUACAUGUGUCACGUCCUAACCAGUAAAAGGGGUUGUUUGUUAUUGUAGUUUGGUCAGGGCAUGGCAGGAGGUGUUUGUUUAGGGUGUUUCGGGGUGUUUUGGUUUAUGUUCUAUGUUAGUGUAUUUCUAUGUUCGUUCUAUUUGUUCUAUUUCUAUGCGUAGUUUAUUGGGUUGAUCUUCAAUUGGAGGCAGCUGUUCCUCGUUGCCUCUAAUUGAAGGUCCUAUUUAAUAGAGGUGUUUUUGUCAUGGGAUUUGUGGGUAGUUGUUUCUCUGUAUAGUCAUUUUGUCCUUACGAGACAGUUUUUUCG
rnacentral:lncRNA from 1 species